UCUCUAUCCUCCCACGGUAUUCUGUUGUUGAAGAUGUCGGCUCCGGCACCGGCACCAGCACCAGCACCUCCAGCUCCGUACGCCGGCGGUUCCCUCUGGCGGCUCAGCCGGAGAUGAUGAAAGCGGCGCACUCACACUUUAUUGAUUGAGAAGUUGAACUUAGUAAUCGUGGGGCUCGCUAUGGAAAAUGAUGAAGAAAAAGAAAGAUUAAAUGGAAUUAUUGCGGGGUUGUUGGCUGAAAAAGAAAAAUAUAAGGUUGAUAAAGAUGCUAUGCUCGAUAGGAUGUCACAAAUUGAAGCUAUGUUAACAAGUACAGUUCGAAGAUAAGCUAUAAACACUUGGUUUUGAAUGUUUCGAUGUUUAUCAUAUUAAGAUAUUUUAUUUAUUUAAUGUUUGAGUUGAC
rnacentral:lncRNA from 1 species